UUUUUUUUCAAAUUAUCAGUAUGUAAUUUUGUUCGGCCACUUAACAAAACGAUCUUUAUCUUUUUCAAAGAAGUAGCUGUCUCUGUCUGUGCGGUUAUGGAUUGAAAAAAACGCAACCUAAUAAAUCUAUGUGCUGAUUAUUGAUUCUUGAAAAUUUAGAAGAGUUUGUCCAUACUUUCCUACGUCAAGUGAAGAAAAAGAAAACAAAAGGACAGUUUAUAAAAUAAAAAGGGACAAAAGAAAAGCUGUCAAUAUACUCUAUAUUGAAAUCUUUACAUUUCAAACACUUCAUCAUCUUUGUCAUCCUCGAACCUUCCACAUAAUAAACAACCUGGCACAACAAAAACACCUAAAAUGAAUAACACCAAAAUACACUGUUUUUUUCAGAUUUUAAAGGAUCGGAACCUAUAGUUCAGCUUCAGUACGAGGUGACUGUCAGUUCAAUUUGUGUUGUUGUCUCAACAAGGAAAAGAGAGCCUUUAGGUUGAAGAAAAACUUGAAUCAAUGGACUUUGUGAUUGUGAUUUCACUGCCCUUGAUUCUGAUCUUCCUCAUCGCAGCGCUUGCUUGUUACCUGUUUGGUAGGUCACGAGGCCGCCGCGAAGCCGCCACGAUUCCUCCAUACUAUGGACCGCCACCACCAGCACCUCCUCCCGGAGUCCUUUCUCCGCCACACGGAAAAUAGCAUAUUCUUGUUUCUUAUGUUUGCUUCUCAAGAUUGUAUAGGUCAUGCAUGUUGUUAAAAUUAAUUUGAGCAAGUUGUUUGUUUAAUUGUAUGAGAACAAAUAAAGUGUGUUAUUGCAAGCACAUUUAUUUCGUUUCAA